UUGCAAUCUGUGUGUCUACAGGAGAAAACAAAUGAGAAUGAGGAGGAGUCAUCCCAUAACAAGACGGCAGAUGAGCGCGCCCCCAGGACGCAUCCAAAGCCCAGAGAUCUGCAAGUGGCGGCACUUCAGACUCUGCAGGAAACAUUCACACUGGUCCAAUAGCAUACAGCAGAAGAAGCGUGCGCUCCACUAGCGAAGCUCAAAAUAAGGAAGGUGAUGAUGCAG